CAGUUUAAAUUCAAUCCAUUUAUUGUCCGAUUCGCAUGAUUUAAGUAUUGACUUGGCGUAUAAUUAGGGGUUUAGUCACUCUGAAUCGGUUUUUUGCCUGAAUAUUACCUAAAAUUACAAUUUAUUUUUAUAAAAUAGAACAUAUAUAAAUAAAUAAAACCCUGAAAUUCGAAGUUUUCUUUUUUCUUUUGUUUUUAAUUUUAUUGCUGUGUGUUUUCUUUUCAUUCUUUCUCUUUCCAAAGCAUUCUCUUUUGUUUCUGCUUGGACGGUAAAUUCUUGGGGUUCAAACACUUUUCUCCUCCUGUCCAGUGGAGAAAGUGAAGGAAAAAGAACAGAAAAAAAGAGAGGAAAGAGAAAGAAAAUAAAUCCAAAAAGUAAAUAUUAGGAGGGAAAGUUUUUUUAAGAUUCUUUAAAAAAAAAAAACUAUUAUUGAAACAUGGGUUGUUUUGGUUGCACUGGUCAUUCAACCGACGAUUCAGACUUCCCAAGAAACAAGAACAACAGGAGGAAUGCUAACAACAGCAAUAAAAACAAACCCCAUGAUCAAAGACAAGCCGGUUCCGGUUCCAGUUCCUGUUCCAGUUCCAGUUCCGUAAAAAAAGCAUCAAAAGAGAGUGUAAGGAAGGAAGAAGCAUCUAAGGAUGAGGAGUUAUUGAUGGAGGUAAGGAAUUUGAGUUUGCAUGGUGGUGAGGAUUCCAAAGUUGGAAAAGCUAUCAUGCGGGCACAGUUGUUUACAUUCGAUCAAGUCAUAGCUGCAACUGGAAACUUUAGGUCCGAUUAUUUCUUGGGGGAAGGUGGUUUCGGUAAAGUUUACAAGGGAUUCUUGGAGGACACAAACGAGGUUGUUGCUAUUAAGCAACUUGAUCAAGAUAGUCUUCAGGGCAGUAGGGAAUUCGCUGCCGAAGUAUUGACGUUAAGCACAGCUGAGCACCCGAAUCUCGUGAAAUUAAUAGGGUUUUGUGCCGAGGAUGAACAAAGACUAUUGCUUUACGAGUACAUGCCAUUAGGGUCUUUGGAAAACCAUUUGCAUGAUCUCUCACCUGACCAAAAACCACUCGAUUGGAACACGAGAAUGGAAAUAGCAGCUGGUAUGGCGAGGGGAUUAGAGUAUUUGCAUGUUAAAAUGAAGCCACCGGUCAUAUACCGUGACUUGAAGUGCUCCAAUAUUUUGCUUGGUGAGGGAUAUCAUGCCAGGCUCUCUGAUUUUGGCUUAGCCAGAGUUGGUCCUAGUGGGGAUAAAACUCAUGUUUCUACAAGGGUUAUGGGCACUUAUGGUUAUUGUGCACCGGAUUAUGCAAUGACUGGACAGUUGACGUUUAAAUCUGAUAUUUACAGCUUAGGGGUUGUCCUUUUGGAACUGAUUACGGGUAGGAAAGCAGUUGACUAUUCGAAAGAUCGUAAUGAACAAUAUCUUGUUGCUUGGGCACGACCUUUGUUUAAAGACCGAAGGAAUUUUUCGCAAAUGGUUGAUCCUCUGCUACAAGGUCAGUAUCCGAUGAAAGGUCUCUACCAAGCAUUGGCCGUUGCUGCAAUGUGCGUACAGGAACAGCCUAACAUGCGUCCAGCUAUAUCCGACGUAGUUAUGGCUCUGAAUUACCUAACCGUCCAGAAAUACAACCCUAACAACUCUGCUCAGAGCUCACGAAGGAGCAUGACAUUGUCACCGGGGAAAGGACGAGUUGCAGAUCAUGUUAAGAGUUUCUGAGCCGGAGAAUCAUGUACAUAUACAUAUAAGAUUAGAAACAAAAACGGCAAAUAUACUUAAUACUAUAUGGUGCCAAUUUAUCGAAUUUUGCAUCACAUAAGGUAACCUCAAUUUUGAAGCAACAUUGGCUGAAGCAAACAAUCUGUCUGACAGCAAAAGCUUACGCCUAAAGGGAUAUAAACCCGACACAGCUUGAUUAGAAUCCAGAAAAAUGGAGCAACUGUGUACAUUGUUGUUGUACCAACCACUUAUUCCAAAUCUACAUAUUUUUUGUCAGAAUACAUGCAUUAAAUAUAUUUAUGUGUUUGUAUCA